rnacentral:rRNA from 1 species
UACGUAGGUGGCAAGCGUUGUCCGGAUUUAUUGGGUUUAAAGGGUGCGUAGGCGGCCCUGUAAGUCAGUGCUGAAAUACCCCGGCUUAACCGGGGGGGUGGCAUUGAUACUGCAGGGCUUGAGUACAGAUGAGGUAGGCGGAAUUGACGGUGUAGCGGUGAAAUGCAUAGAUAUCGUCAAGAACACCGAUAGCGAAGGCAGCUUACUAGACUGUAACUGACGCUGAUGCACGAAAGUGUGGGGAUCAAACAGG